CCUGGCUCAGAACGAACGCUGGCGGCGUGCUUAACACAUGCAAGUCGGAUGCGAACGGCGCUUUCGGGCGUUGAGUAGCAUGGCAGACGGGUGAGGAGCGCGUAUCUGACUGGACCCAGGCUGGGGGAUAGUCCCUCGAAAGGGGGUUGAAUACCGCAUGUGCUCGGUGCUGUGAGGGCAUCGAGGAAAGUUGGCCUCUGCGGGCACGCUGAUGGCCUGAGACAGGGAUGCGUCCUAUUAGCUAGCUGGUGGGGUAAGGGCCUACCAGGGCGACGAUGGGUAGCUGGUCUGAGAGGAUGAUCAGCCACACUGGGACUGCGACACGGCCCAGACUCCUACGGGAGGCAGCAGUGGGGAAUUUUGCGCAAUGGGCGCAAGCCUGACGCAGCAACGCCGCGUGCAUGACGACGCCUUUCGAGGUGUAAAGUGCUGUCGACCGGGACGAAGGGGCGAGGGUGAACAGCUUUCGCGCAUGACGGUACCGGUGGAGGAAGCCCCGGCUAACUCCGUGCCAGCAGCCGCGGUAAGACGGAGGGGGCGAGCGUUGUUCGGAAUUACUGGGCGUAAAGCGCGCGUAGGCGGUGCAGCAAGUGGUGCGUGAAAGCCCUCGGCUUAACCGGGGACGGGCGUGCCAAACUGUUGGACUGGAGUGCCGGAGGGGGAGGCGGAAUUCCUGGUGGAGCGGUGAAAUGCGUAGAGAUCAGGAAGAACGUCGGUGGCGAAGGCGGCCUCCUGGACGGACACUGACGCUGAGGUGCGACAGCGUGGGGAGCGAACGGGAUUAGAUACCCCGGUAGUCCACGCCGUAAACGAUGGGUACUAGGUGUGGGGCUUGUGAUGAGGCCCGUGCCGGAGCUAACGCAGUAAGUACCCCG
rnacentral:rRNA from 1 species